ACGAACGCUGGCGGCGUGCUUAACCCCUGCAAGUCGAACGGAAAGGCCCUGCUUUUGUGGGGUGCUCGAGUGGCGAACGGGUGAGUAACACGUGAGUAACCUGCCCUUGACUUUGGGAUAACUUCAGGAAACUGGGGCUAAUACCGGAUAGGAGCUCCUGCUGCAUGGUGGGGGUUGGAAAGUUUCGGCGGUUGGGGAUGGACUCGCGGCUUAUCAGCUUGUUGGUGGGGUAGUGGCUUACCAAGGCUUUGACGGGUAGCCGGCCUGAGAGGGUGACCGGCCACAUUGGGACUGAGAUACGGCCCAGACUCCUACGGGAGGCAGCAGUGGGGAAUAUUGCACAAUGGGCGGAAGCCUGAUGCAGCAACGCCGCGUGCGGGAUGACGGCCUUCGGGUUGUAAACCGCUUUCGCCUGUGACGAAGCGUGAGUGACGGUAAUGGGUAAAGAAGCACAGGCUAACUACGUG
rnacentral:rRNA from 1 species